AUGAGCUGCCCGGCCUCAGCUGCUGCCCCCACUCCACGUCCCCGCCCCGGUCCCCCCCUCCACGCCGUGGCGCCAGCCGGGCUCCGCUGGCCCGUGACUCAUGUGACGCUCACGGGAUGUGACAGGGACGGGGAUGGGGGGGCGGCGGGACCCGCGGGCGCUGGCAGCGGCUGCUCUGCUGUGGCCUCGCACACGCGCCCUGGCCUUGCACAGCCCCCCCCCCCCUUGCACAGUGCUGCUUGCACACCCCCCCGGCUUUGCAGUGACACCCUCCCCUCUUUGCACAAGCCCCCUGCCCUUGCACAGGGCCCCCCAUUGCAUGGUCUGACCCCCCCCCGGCACGGCACAGCUCCCCCCACCGCACACUCGCCACAUCCCCCCACCUUUGCAGUGGCUCUGGGCACCCUGGCAUGGGGGGAUGACGGGUUGGGGGGACCAGGGGCACCCCCAGCCCCAGUGCCAGGUCCGGGUGGGUAUGGGGGGUGGUCGGUGCUGGGGGGGGGGGUGUCACACCCUGUCCUCCAUCUGCUGUUGCGCCUCGGUCGCCAUGGCAACCGCUGCAACCCACCCCAGGGAUGCGGUUGCCGUGGCGAUCACAGCACUCGGCUGCACCGUGUCCCUCCCGGGUGGCGGCACCCGUGGGUGCUGGGGGGGAGGAUGGGGUGGAGAAGGGGACCCGGGCACCCCAUGCGGGCCACGCAGACACGGGACGGGAGGGGGGAACACAGGACACACGGACACAGACACGCCGCUACCCACUGCGUUGCUCACCCCCGGCACGUGCACGCAUGCGCAGCCCCCCGCGCCCCCCCCCCGCACACGCACACUCGUGCCUACACCCGUAAACAUCCCCCCCCACGCAGACACCUGCACACACAGACACCCACCCACACCCCGCACCCGCGCGCACCCACACCCUCACACCCCCCCCCCCCCCCCCCCCGCCCCCCCCCCCCCCCCCGCGCACACACGCGUGUCCCAGCCGUGUCCGGCCCCUUUAAGGCAGCCGAUGACUCAGCCCUUGGCCCGGACGCCCGGGUCCUUCCGGGCGGGGGGUGUGGGGGUGUGGGGAGACACCCACCCCCCCACCGCCCCACGCCGUGGCCGUCUGCCCGUUCCCAAGCCCGGCGGGUCCGGCCCGGACGCCUGGGUCCCCCUGCGCCACCCCCCUCCGCGGCCCCGGGGGGGGAAUGCCCAGGACCCCCCACCCCCCCGCGGGACCCCCCCAUUCACGCUUCCCAUGCAAAGCGCCUCAUGAAUAUGCACGAGGGGCGUGGUCCCACGGGGGCCCAUUCACGCGGGCGGGCGGGCGGGCGGGGGGCGGCGGCGGCGGCGGGGGGGGGGCGCCUAAUCCCGCCGCGGGGGGGGGGGGGGGGGGGCAGGACAUGGCGCGGGGGGGGCAGGACACGGGUGGGCCGGUUCCUUCCCGCCUUUGUCUCUCCCGCUCCGGCCAGGUGCGGGGGGGGGGGAGGGUGGAGUGGGGGGGCUCCUCCAAUCACUGUGUGUCCCCCCCGUGAUUUUAGGGUGGGUGGCGAUAGCGGGAAGGGGAGGAGGGUCGUCCCCCCCCCCCGCAGCCCGGGGGACAAGAGGCCUUUGUGCCACGGGGAGCAGCGCAGCGCUGGCCCGGCCGGGGCCACCCCCACCCCUCUCAGCCCCCCCUCCGGAAACCGAGUCACGGCCCGGCCCCACAGACAGCGCCCUGUGGGCAUCGUCCUGCUGCGUGGGCACCGGCGCCAUCCUGACCCGGGGGGGGGGGUCCCACCCGUGACGGGGGGGUCCCGUCCUGCUCACGGCUGGAGCAGCAUCCCCCGGGGCCGCACAUCCCACAUCUGGAGCACAUCUGGAGGCGCCCCGCCCCGUGCCUCAAUUUCCCCACGCGGGGCCAUGCAAACGCUCCGUGGGCCGAAGUACGGGGCGAGGGGGUGGGUGGGUGGGUCGAUGAUGAGUCGUGGCCCCCCCCAGCCCUCCCCGUCCCGGGGCCGCGGGGCGGAAGAGGAGGCUCUGCUGCCACCACGGCCCAGUUUGGCCCCAGUUUGGCCCCAGUUGGGCCCAGCCUGGCCCUGGGGCGCGUGA
ensembl:lncRNA